GAGUUUGAUCUUGGCUCAGAUUGAACGCUGGCGGCAUGCCUUACACAUGCAAGUCGAACGGCAGCACGGGAGCUUGCUCCUGGUGGCGAGUGGCGAACGGGUGAGUAAUGCAUCGGAACAUAUCCUGGAGUGGGGGAUAACGUAGCGAAAGUUACGCUAAUACCGCAUAUUCUGUGAGCAGGAAAGCGGGGGACCUUCGGGCCUCGCGCUCUUGGAGCGGCCGAUGUCGGAUUAGCUAGUUGGUGAGGUAAAGGCUCACCAAGGCGACGAUCCGUAGCAGGUCUGAGAGGAUGAUCUGCCACACUGGAACUGAGACACGGUCCAGACUCCUACGGGAGGCAGCAGUGGGGAAUUUCGGGACAAUGGGGGCAACCCUGAUCCAGCCAUGCCGCGUGAGUGAAGAAGGCCUCGG
rnacentral:rRNA from 1 species